rnacentral:misc_RNA from 1 species
GUACUCUCACACUCUCCGAUCCUUUGGAUUCGGGGAGCGGUGGACUUGGGUGCUUGCUGCUUUUCCGCGUGGCUCACCUCAAAUGCGUUAGUGCACCUCUUGGUUGGACAUAGUACGGCGUGAUAAGUAUCUUCGCCGGCACCUCGCAAGAGGGUGGCCGAUCGAGAGCUCUGUGCUUUCAAACCGUCUUCGGACAACAUCUGACA